rnacentral:snoRNA from 11 species
CUCCGAUGAUGAUCCCGCCAUGCUAAUACCGAUACACCAGGCGGAUGCUUGUUGUCCGUCUGGGUGUAAGUGAGUUCUACUCACCUUCUCAUGCUGAUGCUA